CAACACUUUGUGAAUUAAUACUCCAGAAAUUAUCCAUCGCUUACUAGAAACCUAAGUAAACUAACUGGCCGUCCUGUGUUUUUGUUUCCUAAAUCUGGCACUGAUGACGUCCAGGGAAGACCUGCCAGCAGUACCUUGGGACCACUGAGGGAGUAAGGGCAGAAAAAUGGCACUUUGGAGAUGGGGGGUUCCAUCUGCGGCUCUGCUCCACUGCAGUCUCUGAGCUGUGAAUGCCAAAGAGGACAAACAUGGUUCCACCAAGGUGCACUCUGGAACUGCCCCCCGACCCCCACCCCACGAGGGCAUGUCUACAGCCAGCAAGCCCACCUAAGGUGAUCCUUCUGCAAUACGAAGAAGAUGAACUCUCCAACAUGCAGUUGCUUGACUCCAUCUUUGAACUGUAGCUGUUGGCAGGAGUUCCAGUGGAGCAAUGGAGACAUCAACCUACCCACAAAACUUUCAACUCAAAAUUUAUCCU